rnacentral:misc_RNA from 1 species
UGGGCCGGAUGAAUUCGUUUUCAAUUACCUUUACGUUCCGAUUUGUGUUUUUUUCGACUAAGCUGAUGGGUCGCUGCUACUUCUUUGCAGAAUCCAUGGAGGAACAAGUGACAGCGCUCUCGCCGCUGCACAGCAACCAAGUUGCUGAGGUCACGGCCGAGACAAGGACCGUUAAGCGCAAGUCGGAUGAAAGCUCUAAAACAACCUCAAGUAUCAAGUGGUACAAGCAGAAGUUUAGAGACUCCUGGCUGCAGGACGAGCGCUUCAAAAACUGGCUGGUUUGUGUGCCACACGAUCCGUACCGUGCCAGGUGCAAACUGUGCAACGCCGACCUUAGGGCAGGCAAGAGCGAACUGGAGAAGCACGCGCGCACCAAGCACCACCGUGAUACUGUCAAGGCGGUUGAGGACGUGAAGGCCUUGCUGGGCUUCGCCAACCAAGCCGGAGCGCAGGCGCUGCCGGAGGUAGCGCCCGACAUGCAGUCAGCUGAUCAGUCUAACAAUUCGUUCCAGGUGCAGGAGGAAGAACUGUCGCGGCCUAUGACUGCACUCCUGCCACGGAGGAGAAGAAUAUCAUCCCCACCACCUGCAGUGGCUUCAAGAAAAAUAUCAUCCCCACCAUCUGCAGUGGCUUCAGUACCAGCUGUCCGGUGUCACUUGCCGCCUUUGGGCAUCUUACCCCAAGUGCAGUGUCACGCACCUGAUUUCAAAGGGAUAGCUGUGGUGGACAGCCAGGUCCGGCAAAUCCAACUGAGCGACUAUGAAGGGAAAUUCCUGUUGCUGUUCUUCUACCCUCAGGACUUCUCUCUCGCUUGUCCCAGUGAGCUUGUUGAAUACAGUGAUCGUGCAGCUGAGUUUCGGAGCCUUAACACAGAAAUCUUGGCGAUAUCUACUGACUCCUACUGCACACACCUCGCCUGGACUAACACCCCUAGAAAGCUUGGUGGGCUUGGCAAGGUCAAUGUCCCCUUGAUGUCAGACUUCACAAAGAAGAUCUCAAAGGACUACAAUGUACUGCUUGAAGAUUCCGGGACUGCAUUGAGCCACGAGGGUGAUCUCCGGCAACUUCUUGAAUAAAGAAGGUCCUGGGAUAAUGGGAACUGGAUGCUGGCCUGCAGAAUGUGAAAUGGAUGUCCAACCCACGUGGCCAUGGGAGGGUGCCAAUAACUGCUGUGAAAAAACUUUUGAGAAUCUACCUGGGAGCAUCGCUUAAUGUCUGGCAAACUAGAAUGGUGAUGUUCCUUCCUCAAGUGUGUCUCUCACCCUUACAAAUUUCACUGCCUUGUGAGCCUGCCAGGAAGGCUGUUUAUUUCAAGUGCUGUUGAAGGGCAUCUUUUAUUAUUGACCCCAAGGGCAUGAUUCGUCAGGUUACAAUCAAUGAUGUGAACUUGUACAGAUCAGUGGACGAGACACUUCGGUUAUUGAAGGCGCUGCAG